GAUGAACGCUGGCGGCGUGCCUAAUACAUGCAAGUCGAGCGAACAGAUGAGGAGCUUGCUCCUCUGACGUUAGCGGCGGACGGGUGAGUAACACGUGGAUAACCUACCUAUAAGACUGGGAUAACUUCGGGAAACCGGAGCUAAUACCGGAUAAUAUAUUGAACCGCAUGGUUCAAUAGUGAAAGACGGUUUUGCUGUCACUUAUAGAUGGAUCCGCGCCGCAUUAGCUAGUUGGUAAGGUAACGGCUUACCAAGGCGACGAUGCGUAGCCGACCUGAGAGGGUGAUCGGCCACACUGGAACUGAGACACGGUCCAGACUCCUACGGGAGGCAGCAGUAGGGAAUCUUCCGCAAUGGGCGAAAGCCUGACGGAGCAACGCCGCGUGAGUGAUGAAGGUCUUCGAAUCGUAAAACUCUGUUAUUAGGGAAGAACAAAUGUGUAAGUAACUAUGCACGUCUUGACGGUACCUAAUCAGAAAGCCACGGCUAACUACGUG
rnacentral:rRNA from 1 species